AUAAUAAUGUUAAAAAUAUUAUAUGUAUUUUAUUUUAUCCACUAAGUUUUUUUUCACAAUUAUUCUGUUACACUUGCCAAAGUGUAUUGAUUAUAUUUUCCAACUUAACAUAAUUGUAAUCUACUUUACAUAUAACUUUAUUUCAAUCCAUGCAUGUGGAGAAAUAUCUAUCUAUAUAUAUAUAUAUAUAUAUAUAUAUAUAUGCACAUACAUACAUUUGUGUGCAUAUAUACAUUUUAAAAGUUUAAUUUUCCACAUUAUAAAAGAAAAAAAUACUAAGAAACUUAAAACAUA
rnacentral:lncRNA from 1 species